UUACAAAAACAAGUAACACGCUGGAUUGGGCCUGUGGAUUUAACUCCAAAGGCUGUGCUCUUAACUACUAGGUACACCACCUCAGGUGCACUGCCUCAGGUACUCUGCCUCAGGUGCAUUACCUCAGGUGCACUGCCUCAGGUGCACUGCCUCAGGUGCUCUGCCUCAGGUGCACUGCCUCUCUCUCUAGCCAGCUCGUCCUCUCCUAACGCAUGGACAGCAGCCAGUGGCGGGUCCUGGCCCUCCAGGGAGUGGCCAGGUGGAGAGGACGUGCUGGCCUCUGAUGCCAUGGGCCAUUUUUGUUCUGAGGAGCCUGACUCAUCUUCUGGCCCCUCACUGCCAGGGCCAGCAUUCUCAGUCAGCCCGCCAGCACCUGAGCGCCCGGCCACCUCUGCGGGC
rnacentral:lncRNA from 1 species